rnacentral:rRNA from 1 species
AUACGGAGGGUCCAAGCGUUAUCCGGAAUCAUUGGGUUUAAAGGGUCCGCAGGCGGUCAAAUAAGUCAGAGGUGAAAGCCCAUCGCUCAACGAUGGAACUGCCUUUGAUACUGGUUGACUUGAGUUAUACGGAAGUAGAUAGAAUAAGUAGUGUAGCGGUGAAAUGCAUAGAUAUUACUUAGAAUACCGAUUGCGAAGGCAGUCUACUACGUAUAUACUGACGCUGAGGGACGAAAGCGUGGGGAGCGAACAGGAUUAGAAACCCUAGUAGUCC